rnacentral:lncRNA from 1 species
GCGGCCUGACUUGCCAUCGGGUCCUCCCAGCCCCGCAGCAUCCUCAAUGCCCAAUCUCUUGGCCGCUAGGUCCUCAUCAUCACCAGGGUCGCCCCCGAUGAGGUCGGGUGUCUCAAAGAUGUCCAGGGCCUCCUCCGCGUCCCGGUGCUGCCUGUAGGUCAUCCAGCAGCAGGGCUCCACGUCGGUCUCAUCGAUGCCCCAGAAAGCCAGCUCUUCCUCGAAGAGCGGCCCGCACACGUCGGCGGGGCAGUGCAGCUUGCCCGUGCGGUAGUAAUUGAGCACAUAGGCGAAUACUCCUGGGUGGCGAUCGAAGAAGAAUUCGCGGCCUCCCCCAGGGUGGUCGCUGCCGCCGUUGCCGCCGUUGCCACCGUGCGAACUGCAGUUGCCUGCGCCGCCCUCGAAGCAGCCGCUGGGGACAGGGGACAAGGGAGGCGGUCGUGGCGGCGGAGACAGCGGAGGGGGCAGCGGUUGCAGCUUGUCCCCGGCCGCAGUCAGGCAGUCGCCCUGAGGUUCAGAGGAGGCAAGAAGGGCCAGGCAGAAGACUGAACCCAGAAGUCAGAACAACAAUAACAACAACAAACGUCCUCGCUACCGCCUUUCACCAAGGAGACCUCUGACUAAUUUCCUCAUCCAAUUUCCUUUUCACAUUACUGUUGCCGUUUGUUGCUAAAUGUUAUUAUUACUUGGGAAAGGAAACGGCUAACUAGGAUCCAUCUUUGAGGACAAAAGUGAGCAGUCUCUGCCACCCCUCCCCCUUCCCAAGAAAAACAAACAUCUUGGGGU